rnacentral:rRNA from 1 species
GCAUAUCCAAUAGCGGAGGAAAAGAAAAUAACAAUGAUUCCCCCAGUAACGGCGAGUGAAGAGGGAAAAGCUCAAAGUUGGAACCUGGUGGGCAUAGCCCAUCCGGAUUGUAAACUAAAGUUUUAAAGUCGUUUAGUCAGCCAGGUAAAUAAGUCCUCUGGAAAGGGGCGACAUAGAGGGUGAAAUCCCCGUCUUUGGCCUGAGACUUUUUCUGAUUAGGCGUUUGGCUUUAAAACGAAGAGUCAGGUUGUUUGGGAAUGCAGCCUAAAAUGGGAGGUAAAUCUCUCCUAAAGCUAAAUAUUGACGAAAGACCGAUAGCGAACAAGUACCGUGAGGGAAAGAUGAAAAGCACUUUGAAAAGAGGGUCAAAAAGUACGUGAAAUUGCUGAAAGGGAACCGUAUGAAAUCAGACUUACUGGUAGGUAAUCAAUCUUUCCCUUUGGGAAGGAUGCACUUGCCUACUUUUGUAUGCCAGCGACAUUUUGGUUGGGAGGAAAAAAAUAGGGGAAAUGUAGCCUAGGCUUCGGUUUAGGUGUUAUAGUCCCUUAUAAAAUACUUUCGACUGGAAUGAGGAACGCAGCAAACCCGUAAGGGCGAAGAUUCUGGGCGCUUGGAUGGAAUAAUGAGAGAAUUUCUGCUUUGGGUGGUGCUCUUAUUAUUUUGUUCAACUCGUUUAGAGUUCUUUUUAUUUUGCUUAGGUUGUUGGCUUAAUGAUUUUAUAUGACCCGUCUUGACCCACGGACC